GACGAACGCUGGCGGCGUGCUUAACACAUGCAAGUCGAACGGAAAGGCCUCUUUCGGGGGGUACUCGAGUGGCGAACGGGUGAGUAACACGUGAGUAACCUGCCCUUGACUUUGGGAUAACUUCAGGAAACUGGGGCUAAUACCGGAUAGGAGCUCCUGCUGCAUGGUGGGGGUUGGAAAGUUUCGGCGGUUGGGGAUGGACUCUCGGCUUAUCAGCUUGUUGGUGGGGUAGUGGGUUACCAAGGCUUUGACGGGUAGCCGGCCUGAGAGGGUGACCGGCCACAUUGGGACUGAGAUACGGCCCAGACUCCUACGGGAGGCAGCAGUGGGGAAUAUUGCACAAUGGGUGGAAGCCUGAUGCAGCAACGCCGUGUGCGGGAGGACGGCCUUCGGGUUGUAAACCGCUUUCGCUCAUGACGAAGCUUUGUGUGACGGUAGUGGGUAAAGAAGCACCGGCUAACUACGUG
rnacentral:rRNA from 1 species